UACGUAGGGGCAAGCGUUGUCCGGAAUUAUUGGGCGUAAAGAGCUCGUAGGCGGCUCAGCAAGUCGGCUGUGAAAUCCCGAGGCUCAACCUCGGAACUGCAGUCGAUACUGUUGUGGCUAGAGUCUGGUAGAGGAGAAUGGAAUUCCCGGUGUAGCGGUGAAAUGCGCAGAUAUCGGGAGGAACACCAGUAGCGAAGGCGGUUCUCUGGGCCAGUACUGACGCUGAGGAGCGAAAGCGUGGGUAGCAACAGGAUUAGA
rnacentral:rRNA from 1 species